UCCGGUUUGUCACCGGCAGUCCCAUUAGAGUGCUCAUCUGAAUGUAGCAACUAAUGGCAAGGGUUGCGCUCGUUGCGGGACUUAACCCAACAUCUCACGACACGAGCUGACGACAGCCAUGCAACAAGUGUCUUCACGUCUCCUUGUGAGAGAGGGCCCCAUUUCUGAGGCUUGCGAUCGAUGUCAAGUCUGGGUAAGGUUCUUCGGUUAGUAUCGAAUUAAUCCACAUGCUCCACCGCUUGUGCGGGUCCCCGUCAAUUCAUUUGAGUUUCAACCUUGCGGCCGUACUCCCCAGGCGGGAUACUUAAUGCGUUAGCUUCGGCACGGACGGGGUCGAUAUCCGCCCACACCUAGCACCCAACGUUUACGGCUAGGACUAC
rnacentral:misc_RNA from 1 species